ACAGUUCCACCCUCUUGUUUCGUACCGAGGGAAACGCUAACAAUACCUCGGAGAUACCACAAAUUAUUAGUUUUAAAGACUAAUCCACCGCCACUGUCACCAUCACAAACAGAAGAACCUGAAACAUGCUUAAUGAUAAAUUGUUCUGUAUUGGCAUGUUGGCUCGCGGACCUACAUUGGCCGAAUGGAAUCACGGGCACUGUCAGAGCUUGUAGGACUGCGCUAGAUUCACCUUGUGCAGUUCUACCAAAUCCCGCUACUUUUCCAAAAGAGCCUGGUUCCAAUAUACUCCUAUCGCUUAAGUGAUCUCAUCAUAUACACAAUGAGCCGCCGUUAUCAAGAGAUUCUCCUGAAUAAUAGAAGCUCCACAGAAAAAUUUCUUUGCCUCGUCUGGUGCAUCACGAUACAUAGUGGCAUGCCACGGAAAUUCCGUGAUGUUUGGUCGGAUACCGCCCACAACGGUCGGUUUAAUAUCGGGAGUUCUAAGACCACGUCCAAGGCUCCUCUGCAGCAUUAUUAUUAUUUGGCUUUGGUACUCUAACAUCUACGUUUGGAUAAUUUGGAUUGUUAGCAUUCGUGUGUAUAAUGACUCUAUCAUCCAAAACUUCAAUAAAC